ensembl:ncRNA Y46E12BL.8 ncRNA
UGUAGGCUUAGGCUUAGGCUUAGGCUUAGGCUUGGGCUAAGGUUUAGGCUUAGGCUAAGGCUUAGGCUUAGGCCUAGUCUUAGGCUUAGGCUUAGGCUUAAGCGAAGGC